rnacentral:snRNA from 1 species
UUGCUUUAGCAGCACAUAUACUAAAACUGGAAUGAUACAGAUAAGAUUAGCAUAAGUUCCUGUGUAAGGAUGACAUUCCAUAUUUUUCCAGAAAAAAUAAAAGUAA